CUGGACCACUCAGGAUCUGUGCACCAUGCUUUGAGAAAUAGUGCCUAAGGAAAAGAGUGCAUUGCACACAGCAUGCCCCCAGUAAACAACAAAGAUGACAGUGACAAUAACAGCAGCAGCAGCAACAGGCUUUGGAGUCACAGACUCAGAUCUUCUGAGCUCACUGGGAAGGUCCUUUGAACUCAUCAAGCAACUCCAGGAAGUGGAAGAGGAUCAAAGGGCACAAGAGAAUCUUGAUGGAAGCUUCUUUAAGGCCUAGUCUGAGUGUGCUGCGUGGAGAGAGGAGGCAGCUUCUCGCCCAAGGCCAUCACCCAAAGAGAAGAGCUGUGAUUCCCCAGAGAGAACCACUUGCACCCCAAUAACCUGGCAGAGGGGAGGAGUGGGCGGGGCUUGUCACAUGCAGAAUAUUGGGCCCCAUAUUAGAAUCUCCAAAUCAGAAUCUCUGGGGGUGGGUUUGUAAGGACAAAUUGAAAGGAACAGGUUUUAAUUCUUCCUGUUGAAAAUAAGGGAAGAGGCCCCCUCCUCCCCUGUUCUUUCAGAAUUCACUUUAGAUGACUUGUCAUUGUAAAUUAUUUCUUUGUCUCUUUGAAAAGUAUGUAAAUCAGGGAUCUGGCAGCCACCCCUUUAAAAUGUAACUUCAGGUAAUCCUCCCAACCUUCUUGUUUCCUGGAAGGAGUUUAGCAUUACCUCUGGUGGCCUGGCUCCAAAUUGCAUUUGUCAUUUUCAUUGCCAUAAAGAUACUAGAAAAUUAUCAAUAUUAUCUUGAAAACAUGAAUGUAAUGGGUUGUAUCCACUUAGCUGUAUAACCAUUAAGAUUCCUUUCUGUUUUUGCAAUCUCUUUAGAAGAUUGCCUGUGAUGCAUCACAUUCUGGGUUUAAGCUUAGUGAUAAUUUAAAACUUUUCUAUUUUUGUGGAGAAGUUUUCUGGGUUGGGAGUAGAUUUUGUUUUUUAGUAACUUUUUCCCAACAGGUUCCAACAGUCAGCAUGUGAGACAAGCUCCCCAGGUGAUUCUGAUAUACAAGAAAGUUUGAGGACAGCGGUGUUAGAGCAAGGUCUUUGGAGAGUCCCAAUCCUGCCUCUACUAUUUACCAAUUGUGUGAUCUUGAGUAAGCUAUUUAACGUCUCUGAGCCUUAUUUUCUUCUUUACAGAAUGGAAUAAUAGUACCUCCCUCAGUGCUGUUAGGAGGAUUCAAUGAGAUUGUAUAUUAUGUGCCUAAUUAAAAAAUGGUAGUUAUCAUUAAACUCCUUGCCCCCUUGUGCUUUUUU